rnacentral:rRNA from 1 species
CCAAUAGCGUAUAUUAAAGUUGCUGCAGUUAAAAAGCUCGCAGUUGAAUUUCGGGACUAAUAUGUCGGUCGUGCCUCGGUACGUACCGGUAUUUUUGGUUUCUCCCUUCUGACGAACCUUGAUGUCAUUAAUUUGGUGUCUUGGGAAAUCAGGACUGUUACUUUGAACAAAUUAGAGUGUUUAAAGCAGGCUCACGCUUGAAUACAUUAGCAUGGAAUAAUGAAAUAGGAUGUUUGAUUCUAUUUUUUUGGUUUCUAGGAUCGACGUAAUGAUUAAUAGGGAUAGUUGGGGGCAUUAGUAUUCAAUUGUCAGAGGUGAAAUUCUUGGAUUUAUUGAAGACUAACUACUGCGAAAGCAUUUGCCAAGGAUGUUUUCAUUAAUCAAGAACGAAAGUUAGGGGAUCGAAGACGAUCAGAUACCGUCGUAGUCUUAACCAUAAACUAUGCCGACUAGGGAUCGGAUGAUGUUAAUUUUUUAAUGACUCAUUCGGCGCCUUACG